rnacentral:rRNA from 1 species
ACAGCAGUAGCCGCGGUAAUACGGAGGGUGCAAGCGUUAAUCGGAAUUACUGGGCGUAAAGCGCACGCAGGCGGUCUGACAAGUCAGAUGUGAAAUCCCCGGGCUUAACCUGGGAACUGCAUUUGAAACUGUCAGGCUGGAGUCUUGUAGAGGGGGGUGGAAUUCCAGGUGUAGCGGUGAAAUGCGUAGAGAUCUGGAGGAAUACCGGUGGCGAAGGCGGCCCCCUGGACAAAGACUGACGCUCAGGUGCGAAAGCGUGGGGAGCAAACAGGAUUAGAUACCCGAGUAGUCCCUGUCUCUUAUAU